rnacentral:rRNA from 1 species
GCAUAAUAAUUUGCCUUAUAAUUUGAGGAUAGAACCUUGGAUUGACGAAGGUUAAUCUGUCUCUAUCUUAUUUUUUAGAAUUUAAUUUUUAAAGUGAAAAGGCUUGAAUUUUUUAGAGGGACGAGAAGACCCUAAUGAGCUUAUAAUUUUAUUAUUAUUUUAUUAGUUGGAUUGAUAUAGUAAUAUAUAAUUUUAGUUGGGGUGAUUAAGGAAUAAAUUGUAUUAGUAACUUCCUUAGGUUAUAUGUUUUAUUAUAAAGUAACCAAUGUAGUAUUGCUUAUAUUAUAGUUACCAUAGGGAUAACAGCGUAAUUUAUUUAGAGAGUUCUUAUUGAAAAAUAAGAUUGCGACCUCGAUGUUGGAUUAAAGUAUCCUUAAGGUGUAGCAGCUU